rnacentral:rRNA from 1 species
AGUCGAGCGGUAGAGAGGUGCUUGCACCUCUUGAGAGCGGCGGACGGGUGAGUAAUACCUAGGAAUCUGCCUGGUAGUGGGGGAUAACGUUCGGAAACGGACGCUAAUACCGCAUACGUCCUACGGGAGAAAGCAGGGGACCUUCGGGCCUUGCGCUAUCAGAUGAGCCUAGGUCGGAUUAGCUAGUUGGUGAGGUAAUGGCUCACCAAGGCUACGAUCCGUAACUGGUCUGAGAGGAUGAUCAGUCACACUGGAACUGAGACACGGUCCAGACUCCUACGGGAGGCAGCAGUGGGGAAUAUUGGACAAUGGGCGAAAGCCUGAUCCAGCCAUGCCGCGUGUGUGAAGAAGGUCUUCGGAUUGUAAAGCACUUUAAGUUGGGAGGAAGGGCAUUAACCUAAUACGUUAGUGUUUUGACGUUACCGACAGAAUAAGCACCGGCUAACUCUGUGCCAGCAGCCGCGGUAAUACAGAGGGUGCAAGCGUUAAUCGGAAUUACUGGGCGUAAAGCGCGCGUAGGUGGUUUGUUAAGUUGAAUGUGAAAUCCCCGGGCUCAACCUGGGAACUGCAUCCAAAACUGGCAAGCUAGAGUAUGGUAGAGGGUAGUGGAAUUUCCUGUGUAGCGGUGAAAUGCGUAGAUAUAGGAAGGAACACCAGUGGCGAAGGCGACUACCUGGACUGAUACUGACACUGAGGUGCGAAAGCGUGGGGAGCAAACAGGAUUAGAUACCCUGGUAGUCCACGCCGUAAACGAUGUCAACUAGCCGUUGGGAACCUUGAGUUCUUAGUGGCGCAGCUAACGCAUUAAGUUGACCGCCUGGGGAGUACGGCCGCAAGGUUAAAACUCAAAUGAAUUGACGGGGGCCCGCACAAGCGGUGGAGCAUGUGGUUUAAUUCGAA